UCAGAAAAAGAAAAGGAUUUGAAUCAGACCUCAGGGUCCAUUAGGAGGGAAGGCAGCGCACGUCGAGGCGAGCGGACGAGGGUCUAAAACAAGGAAGAGAGAAGGGAAGGAAGGAAAGCACAGAUCACUAAAGAACAAGACAUCGGGGACAAGGGACGUGUCAAUGCCAUACAAGAAUCAGUGCGCCUGAGGUGCUAAGUGUGAAGUGAGAAGAACGUGACCCGGAGAGCAGAGCCGCUCACCGCGACCUGGACACAAAACUUAACAGGGGACUUGCGGCCGAGGAACAGCCACACAUAUUUACAAGUCUUCAUUUUUUAUUGCAAUAGUAAUCCCGGUUUGUGGGCGCAAUUUCAAAAAGGGACCGGUUAUUUAUAGCGCUUGCCCAAUUUUUUUAUAUUGAAAUAUAUUUUUCAUUUGAGCUUAAUCUCUUUGGUCAUUCCCAAUGAAGGAAGCGGAUGCCAUUAAACUCUUUAUUGGACAAAUCCCCAGGAACCUGGAAGAAAAAGACCUGAAACCCAUCUUCGAGCAGUUCGGCAAAAUCUACGAGCUAACGGUCAUCAAAGACAAGUACACAGGCAUGCACAAAGGCUGUGCAUUCCUCACUUACUGUGCCCGUGAGUCUGCCCUGAAGGCCCAGAGUGCAUUGCAUGAACAGAAGACCCUGCCCGGGAUGAACCGGCCCAUUCAGGUGAAGCCAGCAGACAGUGAAAGUCGAGGAGAAGACAGGAAAUUGUUUGUAGGCAUGCUGGGUAAGCAGCAGACAGAUGAAGAUGUGAGGAAGAUGUUUGAACCAUUCGGCAGCAUUGAUGAGUGCACAGUGCUAAGAGGACCUGAUGGAACAAGUAAAGGUUGUGCUUUUGUAAAAUUCCAGACGCAUGCAGAAGCACAAGCUGCCAUUAACUCUCUACAUGGGAGUCGCACUUUACCGGGGGCCUCAUCUAGUUUGGUGGUGAAAUUUGCUGACACAGAGAAGGAGAGAGGUCUUAGACGGAUGCAGCAGGUAGCCAACCAGCUGGGCAUGUUUAGCCCUAUGACUUUGCAGUUUGGGGCAUACAGUGCUUAUACACAAGCGUUGAUGCAGCAGCAGGCAGCCCUGGUUGCAGCUCAAAAUGCCUACCUCAACCCCAUGGCCACCAUGGCAGCAGUGCAGAUGCAGCAGAUGGCUGCAUUAAAUGCCAAUGGGCUGAUCGCCACUCCAAUCACACCCAUUACCCCCUCAUCAGUAUGGCAAGGUACAAGCACACCCCCAACUAUUGCUGCCACUCCAGUGCCUGCACUCCCUGCCCCAAUUGGAGUAAAUGGAUACAGUCCAGUUCCGACACAGGCUAAUGGACAGGCUGCUUCAGAAACUAUCUAUGCCAAUGGGGUCCACCCAUACCCAGCCCAGAGCCCAGCCGCUGCAGUAGACCCCCUACAGCAAGCUUACGCAGGAAUGCAGCACUACACAGCGGCUUAUCCUGCUGCAUAUGGAUUGGUGAGUCAAGCAUUCCCCCAACAAGCCACCAUUGUCACUCAACAACACCAGCAACCCCAACAGCAGCAACAGAGAGAGGGCCCUGAAGGCUGCAACAUCUUCAUCUAUCACCUCCCACAGGAGUUUACAGACUCUGAGAUGUUACAGAUGUUCCUUCCCUUCGGGAAUGUUAUCUCUGCCAAAGUCUUUGUGGACCGAGCUACCAACCAGAGCAAGUGUUUUGGAUUUGUAAGCUUUGACAAUCCAGCGAGCGCUCAGGCUGCCAUUCAAGCCAUGAAUGGAUUCCAGAUUGGCAUGAAAAGACUAAAAGUUCAGCUAAAGAGGCCAAAAGAUGCCAAUCGUCCAUACUGAUAGAAUAUGAGAAGAAAAGUUGUUACACAUACUGUACAUUACAUGCUCGGCGCCCCUUUGUCCUGUGUGUGGUGCAGAGACAUUCAGUUAGUUCUUAUUAGUCCAUCCAGAUGUGGGUGAAGGGGCUGAGCUCCCUUUUCAUCCCAUAUUGUUUUUCGAAGGCAGUUACAGAAAGAAAUUGAGGAAAUAUUCUCCUUUCAACAAGUCCCCAAACCCUAAUCUUACUCCCAUCUUUUAUCUGCAUAUACCCCCACCACGCCAUGAAUCACACAUACACAUUCACACAGGUACACAUUUUUCAGGUUGCACAGACACAGAGGCACAGCAAAAAGAGUGUCAAACAAACCAUGGGACAGUCUUAUGUAUGCCCAUUCACUGCCAUUUGUAGAUAAUUGCUGCCUGACGGUUGGUUAAUUAUUUACUAUUAUGGUAUUUUUGGCAUUCCCCAAGCCAUCUUACAAGCUGAAAGUACAUUUUCGCUGUUUACAUUCAAAUACCUGAUUCCACUACCUAAUCAAUGCACAGAGAUUGUAGCAAUUCUCUUUUGCAGUGUUCAGCACACAUGUACAGUAUAGCUAUCAGCCAUCCUUGAUUUUGUUUAUCAUUUAUCUAACAGAGAAAUUAAAUGGAUUUUCUCAAAUUCAAUACUGUUAUGUUUACAGCAUAAAUAAGAAUGCUGCCUCCCUCUUUGUACAUUUUUAUUUACUUGUAUUGAAACAAUACAGGUGAAUGCCUGCUUUCCUGGUUACUUUAAUGUAAACAGCUCAGCAAUUUACAUUAAAGACACUAAAGUCAUUGUCUGCAGGCCAAUUAAUUUUGCAAACUUGUGACCUUUGUUCCUUUUUAGCUUGCUAAUCUUUUUAUUGUACCCCAACAAUAACCUGUGCAAUUUAAACCUACAGAAGGCCCAGUUGCCCGCAUCCCACUUACUUAAUCUCCAAAUCCCGAGCUGGACGCAGCAUUGUGAAUGUGGCCUGCAGAAACAAGGCAUCAACUGUCCCAUGGUACUUCAGUUUAGCUGAUCAAACCAGUUCUGGACCAGUUAGACAUGGCCCUACUGUCUACUAUUUGAAAAUUCUGUAGAAAGCUAAAGAAACAAGUCUUGUUGCAAAUACUUCUUCUCUUCCCUUUCCACCCUUUUAAAGGAAGCAAGGGUUGAAUUGUCAUGUACUUAAUGUUGCUACUGGCUUGGUUUCUUCAGAUUGUAUACAUAUCUACAGCCCAAGAGCUGCUUAUGAGAGACCCCAUCUAAGAUUUCUUUUGGCAACUGCUUUCUUCUGUGCUUGUCUGUACCCUGGAGAAGGCAGCAGACCACAUUGUAUAUCUUUUUUAUGUUUUACACAAGCAUUAAUUAGCCAUUAAUUUACUACUGUAACAGCAAAGAAAUGCAGUACUUUACAGCAAAAAUUACUCAAGAAGACAAUCUUUCAAUAAAGCCUCUCACUAUACAGUCUAAGGCAAGUGAGUGGAAGGAGCGGCAUCCUUUGGCUAUAGCAGCCACUUCUCUGCACUGCAGACCAGUUCUCAUGCCGUUCUCAUCAUUAACAGACAGCUGUUCUCAGAAUUCAUCAUUCCUUUUCCUCUGCACUAAAUGGGUGUUGCCUUGUUAUUGAUAAGCUGCUCGCUUCUGAAAUGGCAUUAUUUGGUUUCAUUGGAAGUGAAAUUUUGACAAAAACAUUGCCGGUAAUCGGGAUAUUGGUAUGAACUGUGCAGAUCCUAACUUCUUGGCACUGGCUUGUCAGGUGGGUGAACAAAAGUGAUCCCUAGAGGAGGACACUUUGCAAAAAAAAAAAAAGAAGAAGGACACUGGAGGAUACUUU